rnacentral:rRNA from 1 species
CUACGUAGGGUGCGAGCGUUGUCCGGAAUUACUGGGCGUAAAGAGCUCGUAGGUGGUUUGUCGCGUCGUCUGUGAAAUUCCGGGGCUUAACUCCGGGCGUGCAGGCGAUACGGGCAUAACUUGAGUACUGUAGGGGAGACUGGAAUUCCUGGUGUAGCGGUGAAAUGCGCAGAUAUCAGGAGGAACACCGGUGGCGAAGGCGGGUCUCUGGGCAGUAACUGACGCUGAGGAGCGAAAGCAUGGGUAGCGAACAGGAUUAGGUACCCUGGUAGUCCAUGCCGUAAACGGUGGGCGCUAGGUGUAGGGGUCUUCCACGACUUCUGUGCCGUAGCUAACGCAUUAAGCGCCCCGCCUGGGGAGUACGGCCGCAAGGCUAAAACUCAAAUGAAUUGACGG